AGUUGGGUUCAGAACGUCGUGAGACAGUUCGGUCCCUAUCUGCCGUGGGUGUAGGAAAAUUGAGAGGAUCUGUCCUUAGUACGAGAGGACCGGGAUGGACGUACCUCUGGUGGACCUGUUGUGGCGCCAGCCGCAUUGCAGGGUAGCUACGUACGGACGGGAUAACCGCUGAAAGCAUCUAAGCGGGAAACCCACCUCGAAACGAGUUUUCCCUUGAGAGUCGUGGUAGACCACCACGUCGAUAGGCCGGGUGUGGAAGUGCGGCAACGCAUGCAGCUUACCGGUACUAAUCACUCGAUCGGCUUGAUCGC
rnacentral:rRNA from 1 species